rnacentral:tRNA from 1 species
GCCUGGGUGGCUCAGUCGGUUAAGCGUCCGACUUCAGCUCAGGUCAUGAUCUCAAGGUUCGUGGGUUCAAGCCCCAUGUUAGGCU